CCUUCCCACGUGGCGCUUGUCACGUGAAGAGGGCCUGGCGAGGCAGUCGCUCCGCCUAUUCCUCUCUCCGCCUUUUUUAACCCCGUUUUUCCUGGACGCGGGGGUUUCAGAAUCCACAGACACAGGGAUGCUCGAGCCUUAUUGUGUACAGAGGUGUAAUACAAUGGAAUCACCAAAGAAUUUCUGCUGCUGUAUGCUCCAUUUCAGAGGAAGGAAGGAAGGAAGGAAGGAAGGAAGGAAGGAAGGAAGGAAGGAAGGAAGGAAGGAAGGAAGGAAGGAAGGAAGGAAGGACGGAAGGAAGAAAGGAAGGAAAUCGCCUUGGAGUAUUCCUUGUCUAAGAAAACCUGCUGGAAUUCAUGGGGUUGCCAUAAGUAGAUGUGUGAUGUGAAGGCACAAAUCUUACAUAACAUUGAA